ensembl:lncRNA
GUGACACCUGCAGGUUAAACUAGUGAGCUGCAUUUAAUUUAAGUUACUGUGGUCAUGUGAUUAGCCUAACUAAUAGCAGUGCAAAAUGUGCAUGCAGUUUGUUGGUGCUAUGCUGUACACGGAGUUAGAUGCUAAAGAAGAGAAUAAUUAAACAGUAAAGCGUUACAGCAACUCCUAGAUUUCUGGUCGGAAGGCGCACACGGUCAGUCAUCCCCACAUGCGUGUUUAAACAAGAGCUCAAAACCAAAACCUCCACUGACGGACAAGGCAGGGAAGCAUCAUAAAACAAGCAACAAGCCUGCAAGUUCAUC